rnacentral:lncRNA from 1 species
GACACUGAAAAUCAGUAGAAGAAAUACGCCACAUUUAUUCUACCGGGGAAGACAGUGGGAAACCUGAAACUGCCAUUGAGCAGAAGGAAAACAUCCCUUUCCAGAACCUUUCUCGUUUUUCUAAAAAUCUGCACUUUUGGAAGUGAUCCCCCAAAGAGACCUCCAGACUCUACCAUGAGUGUCUCCAGCUGAACUCAUCGUGUCUAAUCCUCACCCUAGCUUAUCCUGUUCAAAUCAUUUCCAUCUUUUUCUGGAUGAACCUGGGCGGAUGUCAGACCAGAGAAGAGCACAGAAUGUACCAGAGAGAGUCUUGCUCUGUCACCCAGGCUGAAGUGCACCCAGGCUGAAGUUGGAGGCUAUGGUGAGCUGCACCACUACACCACUAUGGGAGGCCGAGGCGAGUGGAUUGCCUGAGCUCAGGAGUUCGAGACCAGCCUGGGCAACGUUGUGAAACCCCGUCUCUACUAAAACACAAAAAAUUAGCCAGGCCUGGCGGCAUGUGCCUAUAGUCCCAGCUACUCAGGAGGCUGAGGCAGGAGAAUUGCUUGAACCCGGGAGCUGGAGGUUGCAGUGAGCCGAGAUUGCGCCACUGCACUCCAGCCUCGGUGACAGAGUGAGACUCCGUCUCAAAAAAAAACAAUAUAAGGUGAAGGCCAAGCAGGGUGGCACAUACCUGUUGUCUCACCUACUCAAAAGGCUGAGGCCAGAGGAGGAUUGCUGGAAGUGAGUUCAAAGCCAGCCUAGAGAAUA